rnacentral:lncRNA from 1 species
CGGAUGCGCUGAACUCCGGGGAGGGGAUGGGCAGGAGAGAGAGCACACUCCUGGAGCCGCGACGUCCAAACCCGGACGCACUUGAACCCGCAGCGAGGCCCGUGGCCCGCGGCCUUCGGAGAGCACCCGCGCCCCGCGCAGACCGGACGCCGGCCUUGCCCGAUCCUCGGCAUCCUUCGGCGGGGCGAUACGUGAUCAUUUAACACGCGGGUGUUAAGUUCAUUCUUGCUGCAAAAGAAGGCCAUUGUACCUC